rnacentral:siRNA from 1 species
GGUCAGCUUGUGCUCAAACUGGU